AGUCAGGAUUGUGGGCCUGCUGCUUCCUUCCUGCUUCCGAGAACUGCGCCAAAAAAAAAAAAAAAAAAAGAAAGAAAGAACCUCUAUCACAUGUGAACUGUGCUCUAGACUGCUUCAGGCAAGGGCUGGGAAGUUUUUGUUCUGGUUGCAGAAGGAAAUUCCAGUCGAAACCAAGACUGGGUUGGCCUCAUUAGAGCAGGACACAGGUGGCAAAACAUCUCCUUUCCUGAGAUUCCUUGAGUGUAGCCAGAAGAUUUCAACCUUCCAAGACAGCAUUUUGGCUUUGAGGAUAAAAUAACACGCAGGAAAAUCUGUACGCUGCUGGAAGCAUUCCUAACUGCAUUAGAUCUUCCUUAUCAAUCUAAGCCUGCCUUUGGAAUUGUGCCAUGGGUUCCCAGGCUCGUGUUCAGGAAGUGUUACUGAUAAUAAUGGCCUGCUGGAAGCACCGUGCUGAAAUCCUGUAUUUCUGAAUGUGUGAGUGGUUAGGCAGAGCCCUUCAGCAGUGUCAGUUGUUCUGGAGUUGAGAUCCCCAUCUCCAGUGCUGGAAGGAAGCCGUUCCUGUUCCCAAAAAUUAAUGUAUGUCUGAAGAGUCUCACAGUAACCAGGGAAAAGGGGUAAGCGAUGGACACACACACACUAUUUGGAGGAAAAUUAAAGGGAAUUUGCAGAGCAAUGAAGUAGUUUGGUAUGGACCAGUUUGUUGGUAGAAUAUUAAGAAGAAUCCAUGCCAGAAAUGGCAUAUUACAGGGUUACGGGAUUCCUUUUUUCAUACACCUCAUGGCUCCUGAUGAAAGAUUUGUUCUCCACUGACUUUUCAUCAGUCCCCAGCUGGGACCCUGAGGAACUCCCGGUCAUGAAAUCUCAGGACAGAAGCGCCUCCUCGGUGACAGGGACUUUCCAAGAUAAAUAAUGUCAAAUGCAUGCAGCCAGAAUGAUGGGAGAGCACAGGAACGGCGACACAGUGUCUCCAACUCUUCAGGUCUGUGUUGCCUGAAAAACCUCCCUGAACAGAGGCGCCUGCCCUUGCCUCCUGCUCCAGAAGGAAGCGGCUCUCCCCUCCCGGCUCUCUGCGGGAAUCCAGAGAGGGCAGCGCUAUCUGCCGGCCCUGCAGGGCACUGCUGGUGUUUGCCAGGACUUCACAGCCGAGCACUAGGCACGUUUUAUCUCCUGCACACAUCUACUCACACGCUUUUUCCUUGGUAUUUCUCCAUGUAACCUCUGCUUUCCUGUACAGAAUUUGGCCUCUGGAUGAAAACCUAUGAUUAUUCUAAAUCUUUUUUUUUUUGUUGUUGUUGGUGGUUGGUUGGUUUUGCUUUUUUAUUUAUUUUAUUUAUUUAUUUUUAAGUUAAUAAAACAACUCCUGAAGCUCAGCAAGCUGUAGCACAAUAUCUAGCCAGGAGAAGGUGCUUACUUGGAUGCUGAAGGAUGAGCAAUACGUUCCCUUUGAAAAACAGUGGUUUUGAAAGCAAAAGGAAUUUCUUACAAAUUAAAAGCUCUGUGUAACUUGUGUUAUUUUACCCAGCACCUAUGAAUUUGACCUGGAAGAUGUUUCUUACUGUCUGAAGACAAAAUAUCUUUCAAACUUGUCAAAAGACCUUUCUGAUUUGCCAUACGGAAGCCGGAAAAAACGUUUCUCUUUUUUUUUUUUUUGUGCAUGAUGUCUAAUGUAUUAUGUGUAC